CUACGGGAUGCUGCAGUGAGGAAUAUUGCACAAUGGGGGGAACCCUGAUGCAGCAACGCCGCGUGGAGGAUGACGCAUUUCGGUGUGUAAACUCCUUUUAUAUGUCAAGAAAAUGACGGUAGCAUAUGGAUAAGCACCGGCUAACUCCGUGCCAGCAGCCGCGGUAAUACGGAGGGUGCAAGCGUUACUCGGAAUCACUGGGCGUAAAGGACGCGUAGGCGGGUUGGAAAGUCAGGUGUGAAAUCCUACAGCUUAACUGUAGAACUGCACUUGAAACUUCUAAUCUAGAGUAUGGGAGGGGGAGAUGGAAUUAGUGGUGUAGGGGUAAAAUCCGUAGAUAUCACUAGGAAUACCUAAAGCGAAGGCGAUCUCCUGGAACAUUACUGACGCUAAGGCGUGAAAGCGUGGGGAGCAAACAGGAUUAGAUACCCUUGUAGUC
rnacentral:rRNA from 1 species